ensembl:lncRNA DGUOK-AS1 DGUOK antisense RNA 1
AGUUAUCUCAUCGGCGCUGGGCACUGGAAUGGUUUGCAUGUUUCUUUCCCAGUUACUACAAACUCCUGGAAGGGUAGCACGCUGUCUUUCACCUCAUAACCCUAGACCUAGCAACCAACCACUGUGUUGAAUGAAGAGACGAGAAAAAUCAUCAUUGACAUCCAACACCAGCACUGGAAUGUUCAUCAGAGCCUCAAAGUGGAGCCUAUAAGAAGCGUGAACGUUUGGGGGACAGAAAAAAAGAAAUGUAACUUGAGUCAAGUUUCACAUACUCGCCAAGUCUUACUCAGAGAACAGAUCUAAAUUCAACAUGACUUUUCAAAGAAACUGCAUGUAAACUGCAUUUAAAAAAACAAAUUCAAUAAAGUUGGCCGGAAACAGAAA